rnacentral:rRNA from 1 species
GAUGAACGCUGGCGGCGUGCCUAAUACAUGCAAGUCGAGCGAACAGACGAGGAGCUUGCUCCUCUGAUGUUAGCGGCGGACGGGUGAGUAACACGUGGAUAACCUACCUAUAAGACUGGGAUAACUUCGGGAUACCGGAGCUAAUACCGGAUAAUAUAUUGAACCGCAUGGUUCAAUAGUGAAAGACGGUUUUGCUGUCACUUAUAGAUGGAUCCGCGCCGCAUUAGCUAGUUGGUAAGGUAACGGCUUACCAAGGCAACGAUGCGUAGCCGACCUGAGAGGGUGAUCGGCCACACUGGAACUGAGACACGGUCCAGACUCCUACGGGAGGCAGCAGUAGGGAAUCUUCCGCAAUGGGCGAAAGCCUGACGGAGCAACGUCGCGUGAGUGAUGAAGGUCUUCGGAUCGUAAAACUCUGUUAUUAGGGAAGAACAAAUGUGUAAGUAACUAUGCACGUCUUGACGGUACCUAAUCAGAAAGCCACGGCUAACUACGUG